rnacentral:rRNA from 1 species
CAGUCGAGGGGCAGCACAGGUAGCAAUACCGGGUGGCGACCGGCGCACGGGUGAGUAACGCGUAUGCAACUUACCUAUCAGAGGGGGAUAACCCGGCGAAAGUCGGACUAAUACCGCAUGAAGCAGGGGCCCCGCAUGGGGAUAUUUGCUAAAGAUUCAUCGCUGAUAGAUAGGCAUGCGUUCCAUUAGGCAGUUGGCGGGGUAACGGCCCACCAAACCGACGAUGGAUAGGGGUUCUGAGAGGAAGGUCCCCCACAUUGGUACUGAGACACGGACCAAACUCCUACGGGAGGCAGCAGUGAGGAAUAUUGGUCAAUGGCCGAGAGGCUGAACCAGCCAAGUCGCGUGAGGGAUGAAGGUUCUAUGGAUCGUAAACCUCUUUUAUAAGGGAAUAAAGUGCGGGACGUGUCCCGUUUUGUAUGUACCUUAUGAAUAAGGAUCGGCUAACUCCGUGCCAGCAGCCGCGGUAAUACGGAGGAUCCGAGCGUUAUCCGGAUUUAUUGGGUUUAAAGGGUGCGUAGGCGGCCUUUUAAGUCAGCGGUGAAAGUCUGUGGCUCAACCAUAGAAUUGCCGUUGAAACUGGGGGGCUUGAGUAUGUUUGAGGCAGGCGGAAUGCGUGGUGUAGCGGUGAAAUGCAUAGAUAUCACGCAGAACCCCGAUUGCGAAGGCAGCCUGCCAAGCCAUUACUGACGCUGAUGCACGAAAGCGUGGGGAUCAAACAGGAUUAGAUACCCUGGUAGUCCACGCAGUAAACGAUGAUCACUAGCUGUUUGCGAUACACUGUAAGCGGCACAGCGAAAGCGUUA